rnacentral:rRNA from 1 species
GAUGAACGCUGGCGGCGUGCCUAAUACAUGCAAGUCGAGCGAACAGACGAGGAGCUUGCUCCUCUGACGUUAGCGGCGGACGGGUGAGUAACACGUGGAUAACCUACCUAUAAGACUGGGAUAACUUCGGGAAACCGGAGCUACUACCGGAAAAUAUAUUGAACCGCAUGGUUCAAUAGUGAAAGACGGUUUUGCUGUCACUUAUAGAUGGAUCCGCGCCGCAUUAGCUAGUUGGUAAGGUAACGGCUUACCAAGGCAACGAUGCGUAGCCGACCUGAGAGGGUGAACGACCACACUGGAACUGAGACACGGUCCAGACUCCUACGGGAGGCAGCAGUAGGGAAUCUUCCGCGAUGGGGGAAAGCCUGACGGAGCGACGCCGCGUGAGUGAUGAAGGUCUUCGGAUCGUAGAACUCUGUUAUUAGGGAAGAACAAAUGUGUAAGUAACUAUGCACGUCUUGACGGUACCUAGUCAAGAAGCCACGGCUAACUACGUG